AGAGUUUGAUCAUAGGCUCAGAACGAACGCUGGCGGCAUGCUUAACACAUGCAAGGUCGAACGGGCCCUUUCGGGGGCCAGUGGCGCACGGGUGAGUAACGCGUGGGAACCUGUCGUGAAGUGGGGAACAACCGCUGGAAACGGCGGCUAAUACCGCAUGAGCCCUGAGGGGCAAAGGCCGCAAGGCCGCUUUGCGAGGGGCCCGCGUCCGAUUAGCUAGUUGGUGGGGUAAUGGGCCUACCAAGGCUGCGAUCGGUAGCUGGUCUGAGAGGACGAUCAGCCACACUGGGACUGAGACACGGCCCAGACUCCUACGGGAGGCAGCAGUGGGGAAUAUUGGACAAUGGGCGAAAGCCUGAUCCAGCAAUGCCGCGUGAGUGAAGAAGGCCUUAGGGUUGUAAAGCUCUUUCGCCUGCGACGAUGAUGACGGUAGCAGGAGAAGAAGCCCCGGCUAAUUCCGUG
rnacentral:rRNA from 1 species